rnacentral:rRNA from 1 species
UACGUAGGUGGCAAGCGUUGUCCGGAUUUAUUGGGUUUAAAGGGUGCGUAGGCGGCCCUGUAAGUCAGUGCUGAAAUACCCCGGCCUAACCGGGGGGGUGGCAUUGAUACUGCAGGGCUUGAGUACAGAUGGGGUAGGCGGAAUUGACGGUGUAGCGGUGAAAUGCAUAGAUAUCGUCAAGAACACCGAUAGCGAAGGCAGCUUACUGGGCUGUAACUGACGCUGAUGCACGAAAGUGUGGGGAUCAAACAGG